CCUGGGCAUGGUGGUGCAUACCUGUAAUCCCAGCAACUUGGAAGGCUGAGGGAGGAGGAUGGUAAGUUCAAGGCCAACCUGGGAAACUUCACAAGACCCUGUCUCAA
rnacentral:sRNA from 1 species